rnacentral:rRNA from 1 species
UACAGAGGAGCCAAGCGUUGUCCGGAUUGACUGGGCGUAAAGCGCACGCAGGCGGUUUGGCGCGUGGGGUGUGAAAUCUGGCCGCUUAACGGCCAGGCGCCAUCCCAUACGGCCGGACUGGAGGGCUGCAGAGGUCGAUGGAAUUGCCGGUGUAGUGGUGAAAUGCGCAGAUAUCAGGAGGAACACCGGUGGCGAAGGCGGGUCUCUGGGCCGAUGACUGACGCUGAGGAGCGAAAGCGUGGGGAGCGAACAGG